UGAGAACUGAGAACUAGUAAUCAAAUUGCC
rnacentral:piRNA from 1 species